CAAAUAGCCACCCUUGAACCGCAGGAGAGGCAAGAAUUUGAGACUGAUGUUUUUUUAAAGCAGGACAGAAGAUACUGCCUACCUGAAAGGUUGCAUGUGGGGUUUUCCAUUAGCUCACACACUGGCCUCUGGGAGGUGGAAUGAGCCAUGAGGAUUGAUGGUAUAACUCUGAAUUUGCAAAAACUACAUUAAAUCACUGCAGAAGAUUAUCCAGACACAGGAGUGCAGCUCAGCAAUCUUCCUGCAACAGCAUAUUCACAAAGACUUGGCACAGCUGACAAAAAAUUUGGGAAAGAGUGUGGAUGAGAAUAUCAACAUCCUUCAUCUUGUCCUAGGCAGCCUCCUCAAGGAUCCCCAUCAGCACCCAGGACAGUGGCCAGUUCUCUUUGAUGGGACGCUUUCAACCAAGGAGAUAAGAAGCAAAUGGGAAGAAAUUGUUGCAAGCACAGUUACUAUUCCUGAUUUGAAGGUGAUAAAUUUGUUGUUUAAAAAAAAAAAGAAAAGAAAAAGAAAAAGAAAAAGAAAAGAAUGCAGUAGCUGAGCAAUUCAAAAAGCCACUUCUUUGGAAAUCUGACCUGCUGUGAUACCUGUGCUGCCCUUUCCACUCAGCUAUUCCUGAAUCCGAGCUGUUUAUGGUACGGCUGUAGGAGCUCUGUGAAGUGACCAUCCUGAAGCUGAGGCACUUCAGAUCUGUGGAUGAAUUCAGACCCACAUGGAGGCAAUGGAUUUAUGCAGCCCCAACAACCCACAUGUAGAGAUGAUGACUUCCCUUCCUCUGCCUCUGCGAAAAUGCCUGUGAUGGAAACAGUUCUGUUAGCACAUGACUGCUCUGCUGACCACACAAGCAUCACUGUUAAGAGUAUGCAGCUAGUUGGAAGACACCCUGCAUGCUUCUGGCAUAUAUAACUCUUCUGCAUCUUACGCAGGCUGUUUUGGGAACACUGCUGAAAUAGUUGCUACUCUUGAGUGCUAAACACAAGCAGCCACUCUGAUGACCGUGCUAAGCUUUCUACACACACCGCUUGUCCCUAACAACUUGAUUCUGGGUUCCUUAGCCCAUGUAAUCCUCCGUGGCAUUUGUAGGUUGCUGUACACCAGGUACUAAUCUUACUCUUACUCUUUGAUUUCCAGCCUGAAGGAAUUUUUCAUUCCCUUCCUUGAUGCAAAAAGACCCCGAGUUGGCUACAGAGCUGCAGGUUGCAUGCCCAGGUGAGGCUCUCCUUAUUCAUGCUGUUGCUACCUGGAAAGCGGCUGCUGUCUUCAGGAGAGCACAGAGAGAGCUAGGACUGCUGGCAGCACAGUCUGCCCAUGACCACCACUGUGACCUUCCUCCUGGUGCACAGGCACUGGUUGUGCCUCAAACAUGCAGUUCCAGUGAGAUCCUGGAUGGACAGGGACCGGUGAUUUCUUCCAGAUUCUCAUUACAACUGAUGAUUGUGCGUGGACCUCUGAGUGUGGUUUUACCUUAAUCUAACUGAGGGUCAGUGGAAAUCACAGUCCAUGUGAUUGCUGCAUCACUACAGAUGUUAGCAGCAAUGGAUCAGCAGCAGCAGCUUAAGACCACCCAGCUCUAAUGAAAUUACCCACAUUUUGCCUACUGAAUUUGGGUUGCAGAUACUGUGCUACUCGAGCACAAAUUAAUUUAAUUAUAUUCAUGUUGCGUACACGUUUUACUUCUACCACUGUACAAUCCAUUGCUGGAAUGCAAACACAUGAAUACUGAUAUACUGCAAAGUUGCACAACUUUGGGUGCCAGGUGGUCUCCCACAAAGCCAACACACCCCAGGAUUUUUUG
ensembl:lncRNA